rnacentral:tRNA from 1 species
GCCCGGGUGGCGGAACGGUAGACGCGAGGGGCUUAAACCCCCUUGAGCCGAACACGGCUCGUGUGGGUUCGAAACCCACCCCGGGCACAA